UACGUAGGGCGCAAGCGUUAUCCGGAAUUAUUGGGCGUAAAGAGCUCGUAGGCGGUGUGUCGCGUCGGCCGUGAAAACCUGCAGCUUAACUGUGGGCUUGCGGUCGAUACGGGCAUCGACUGGAGUUCGGCAGGGGAGACUGGAAUUCCUGGUGUAGCGGUGAAAAUGCGCAGAUAUCAGGAGGAACACCGGUGGCGAAGGCGG
rnacentral:rRNA from 1 species